GGGCGCGUUCACCUUGUCGCUUCAUAUUAACGACCAAUCAUUUGGUUGUAGUCAGAGCUUUGAGCUUUGAUAAGCGCAUUAACUUGCCCAGAGUGAGUUAACUGUAUAAAAGGGUCUGUAAAGGUUUCCAGUCUACACAACAGUGUGUAGACUGUAGGGCUUAGACUGGCAACUAUAGCAUUUCUUUUUUUGUUGUAAAUAAACGGGGGAACAAGGCGUAUCUCCGCCCGUUGGGACUGUGGUUUGAGUCCUGGUUUCUGGCCCAGCAACUGAUCCAUCUCCCCUCAGAGUCUGCGAGGUC